rnacentral:rRNA from 1 species
ACACGUGGGUAACCUGCCCAUCAGAAGGGGAUAACACUUGGAAACAGGUGCUAAUACCGUAUAACAAUCGAAACCGCAUGGUUUUGAUUUGAAAGGCGCUUUCGGGUGUCGCUGAUGGAUGGACCCGCGGUGCAUUAGCUAGUUGGUGAGGUAACGGCUCACCAAGGCCACGAUGCAUAGCCGACCUGAGAGGGUGAUCGGCCACAUUGGGACUGAGACACGGCCCAAACUCCUACGGGAGGCAGCAGUAGGGAAUCUUCGGCAAUGGACGAAAGUCUGACCGAGCAACGCCGCGUGAGUGAAGAAGGUUUUCGGAUCGUAAAACUCUGUUGUUAGAGAAGAACAAGGAUGAGAGUAACUGUUCAUCCCUUGACGGUAUCUAACCAGAAAGCCACGGCUAACUACGUGCCAGCAGCCGCGGUAAUACGUAGGUGGCAAGCGUUGUCCGGAUUUAUUGGGCGUAAAGCGAGCGCAGGCGGUUUCUUAAGUCUGAUGUGAAAGCCCCCGGCUCAACCGGGGAGGGUCAUUGGAAACUGGGAGACUUGAGUGCAGAAGAGGAGAGUGGAAUUCCAUGUGUAGCGGUGAAAUGCGUAGAUAUAUGGAGGAACACCAGUGGCGAAGGCGGCUCUCUGGUCUGUAACUGACGCUGAGGCUCGAAAGCGUGGGGAGCAAACAGGAUUAGAUACCCUGGUAGUCCACGCCGUAAACGAUGAGUGCUAAGUGUUGGAGGGUUUCCGCCCUUCAGUGCUGCAGCUAACGCAUUAAGCACUCCGCCUGGGGAGUACGACCGCAAGGUUGAAACUCAAAGGAAUUGACGGGGGCCCGCACAAGCGGUGGAGCAUGUGGUUUAAUUCGAAGCAACGCGAAGAACCUUACCAGGUCUUGACAUCCUUUGACCACUCUAGAGAUAGAGCUUCCCCUUCGGGGGCAAAGUGACAGGUGGUGCAUGGUUGUCGUCAGCUCGUGUCGUGAGAUGUUGGGUUAAGUCCCGCAACGAGCGCAACCCUUAUUGUUAGUUGCCAUCAUUCAGUUGGGCACUCUAGCAAGACUGCCGGUGACAAACCGGAGGAAGGUGGGGAUGACGUCAAAUCAUCAUGCCCCUUAUGACCUGGGCUACACACGUGCUACAAUGGGAAGUACAACGAGUCGCGAAGUCGCGAGGCUAAGCUAAUCUCUUAAAGCUUCUCUCAGUUCGGAUUGCAGGCUGCAACUCGCCUGCAUG